AAGCGCCAGACCAGAUUCCGCAUAUGGUUGACGAGGAGGAAAGUGAUCGAAGCAUUCGGCGGAUGCUUUCCCGGCCGCGGGCAGGUCGUCAGACUGCAUACAAAACACGCAGGCAACUGCGUCUGACAAAAAUGCAG
rnacentral:ncRNA from 1 species